CCGCGUGUCGCGACAAAGCUGUCGCAGAGGGAGUCGUGGAGCGGCGCGGAGCCAACUUGGGCGGGCAGGAGCCGGGCGCACCUCGGGGCGGCAGCGCCGGGAGCCCGAUUCGGAGUCAGCUCUGCUCCGGUGCCAGCGCGGAGCCGCCGCGCCCCAAGGGGUCCCGGAGCCCCCUCCUCGCCCGGACCGCGGCGGGUCUCCGGCUGUGCUCCCAUCCCCUUCUCCAUCCUCAUCUUCAUCCUCAUCCCCAUCCCCUUCUCCAUCCUCAUCCUCAUCUUCAUCCUCGACCUCAUCCCCAUCCUCACUCCAUCCCCUUCUCCAUCCCCAUCCUCACCCCUACCCUCACCCCAUCCCCUUCUCCAUCCCCAUCCCCUAAGUUUCCACGCCGCCACCCCGGCUCAGGGGCAGCCUCCAAACUUCCCCGCCGCGCUGCCAGCAGCGGCACGGGCAGCAUCAGCAGCUCCGCAAAGUUCCCCGGGCUGCCGCCCCUUACCUCCGCGGGCUCCCGCUGCCCGGCCGCCGGCCGGUAAUCCCCAGAGCGUUGCCGCCAGGGCCAGGAGGAGCGCGGGCAUCGCGGCGGGUGCGGAGCGGCGGCGGCAGCUCCGCCGUUGCGCGGGGACCGGGGAGCAGCAGCAGCGGCAGCAGCAGCAGAAGCAGCGGCAGCAGCGGGGCUUUGCGGCUCCGGGCUCACCGCACGCAGCGAGCGGGCAGCGCGGGGCGCCCGCGGCCCCCAGCGCCGCGCUCCGCCCCCGCCCGCCCCGCGCCCCGCCCCGCGGCACGCCCCGCGCCCGCGGAGCCGCGCGGAGGAAGGCGGCUGCCACCCCCCGCACGCGGGGCACUUUUUGCCUUCUUCUUCUUCUUCUUUUUUUUUUUUUCCUAAAUAUUUUUACUUUUUUUUUUAAAAUUUCAUCUUUUUUUCCUUUUUUUACUUCUUUUUUUCCUUUUUUUUACUUCUUUUUUUUUUCCUUUUUUAUUUCAUCGUUUCUCCCCGUUUCAUCUUUUUCCCUUUUUCAUCUUUUUCCCUUUUUCAUCUUUUUCAUUUUUUAUUUCAUCUUUUUCCCUUAUUUCAUCCUUUUCCUUUUUUUACUUCAUCUUUUCCUUUUUUAUUCCAUCUUUUUCCUUUUUUAUUUCAUCAUUUCCUUUUUUUUACCCCAUCUUUUCCUUUUUUCUUCCAUCUUUUUCUUUUUUGAUUCCCUCUCCUUUUCAAUCCUUAACCUUUCAAUUCUUCCUCCAUUUAUUUCAUUUCUUAACUCCCAUCCAUUUAUUUCACUCCUUAGUUCCCACAAUUCCUCUGGAUUUAUUAAUUUAUUCCUUAUAAAUUCCUUCCUCUGGAAGGCUUCGACGGCAGGCUUGGUGACUCGACAAAAAAAAAAAACAAAAAACUCCCACCCUCACCUUAUUAAGCUUCAGAGAGUAAAGAGCCAUGAGAAAAUGACUUGCAUCAUCCACAUGAGAGCAGAAGUUGAUGCCCAAAGGCUGCUUUGCAAACUUGGUGCCAGUGAAUGGUGGGUCCUGACGUACAUUUAA
rnacentral:lncRNA from 1 species